UUUCCGUAGGUGAACCUGCGGAAGGAUCAUUGAAUCGAUCGAACCCACACCGUGAACCUGCUCGUACCCCCCAUGUGUGAGGCCAAUUUGGCUUCGCCUGGGCGCCCGGGGUAACGCAGAAGAACCUCGCGUCUCUCUGUGCCGGGCGGGCGAGGGACGCUUCUGCGCCCCUCGUCGGCCUUUACAUUUUCCACACCAAACCCCAAACACUUCUGAAGCUUGAAAUCGGCGCCGCAUGUCGGCACCGACCAAACCUGAGACAACUCUCAACAACGGAUAUCUUGGCUCCC
rnacentral:misc_RNA from 1 species